AUUGAACGCUGGCGGCAUGCUUUACACAUGCAAGUCGAACGGCAGCGCGGGCUUCGGCCUGGCGGCAAGUGGCGAACGGGUGAGUAAUGCAUCGGAACGUGCCCAGUAGUGGGGGAUAGCCCGGCGAAAGCCGGAUUAAUACCGCAUACGACCUGAGGGUGAAAGCGGGGGACCGAAAGGCCUCGCGCUAUUGGAGCGGCCGAUGUCGGAUUAGCUAGUUGGUGGGGUAAAGGCUUACCAAGGCGACGAUCCGUAGCUGGUCUGAGAGGACGACCAGCCACACUGGGACUGAGACACGGCCCAGACUCCUACGGGAGGCAGCAGUGGGGAAUUUUGGACAAUGGGGGCAAGCCUGAUCCAGCCAUGCCGCGUGCGGGAAGAAGGCCUUCGGGUUGUAAAACGCUUUUGUUCGGGAAGAAAUCCUCUGGGCUAAUACCCCGGGGGGAUGACGGUACCGGAAGAAUAAGCACCGGCUAACUACGUG
rnacentral:rRNA from 1 species